UGCAACUCUCUCUUUCUCUCUUCUGCAACCUCCUCUUUCACCACCUCUAGACCACCAAAUGGCGAGCUGCGAGCAUCGAUAGACUCGUCUCUUCCUCCUUAUCACGCAUGUGGGAGUUGUUUACGACGAUUUGGCCGGAAAUGUGGAGAUCGAAGCCAACAUUUUUACUGUAGCAAAUUAGUCAACGCCGAUUUCCGGCCACCUCCAGUCAUAAACCCAGGUCCAUUAGAAGCGCCUUAAGCCGCUCUUUAUGCUCGCCAAGUCUCAUAACCCAGAUCGAAGCAUGGAGGAAGAAAGCAUAAUUGGAAAAUUUCACUGUACAUCGGAGUGCUUAAUUGUUCGGCUACUUCAAGGUGAUUGACGGUUUGAGUUGGUGGACGAUUGUGGAUCGUAUUUUGAGCUGAAUUGAAGACGCAGCGGGAUUAUCGAGCGGGUAAUCCUACAGGACAGGAGAACCAGGACGGUGAUCGUGCGGUUAGAGCAAUUGUUAGAGUUUUACAACAAUUGUAAGUUGUGAGGUGUGUUAUGCUCAUUUGAGCUUUAUAAUAUAUUGUGAGAGUGAAUUGUAAUAAUGA